UUUGUUGUGCGGCUGCAACCUGAGGCGGUUCAGGGACCGGAUUUGGUUAGAGGAUGCUGAGCCGGGCUGAAGUCACCCAGGGCGGUCAUCCCUGACUCAUCUGAAGAGCCUUCUGUCUCCUCACCCUAUUACUUGUUUAGCUGGGACUUUCAGGGAAGAUUCCCCAACCUGGGAAUCUUUAACAGUGAUGACUUUGUCAUAGAAGAGAAACCAGAAGUUAGUCCAUCACUUUGAUAUUAUGGAGGAAUAAAUUACAUCUAGAGAGAAAUAGA